CCACCGGGGCCCCCAGGCGUUGCGGCCAGGGCUUCAGGUCGGUGCGCUCCAGAGAGACCUGAGUGGGCAGCGUCGCCGCUUCUCCUUUCUUGGACAGUAUUUUCCCAGCGCCACGUCAUAAUGGGACAUUAUGAGGCUUGUGUUGCUUGGGGCCGCGCGGCCCGUCUCAGAGGCGCUCCGGGCAGGAGUGGCCAGCUGGAUGGCUGGAGGCCCAGGGAUCAGUGCAGCUCUGCAUUUCCAGGACCCUGUCGCUGAUCAGAACGCUGUUCCAGCACAGUGCGCAUUAGCUAUGUCUCAGUGCUUUCUUAACUCCGUUGAUAAUUUCACCAUCAAGAUAGAUUUCCAUCACUCUUGCAAGUAUUUUUUCAUCUAUUUUUCCCUUUCCUGACCCUCAAAGCAAAAGGAUUUCUUGUUUUGAUGAAGGAUUUCUUGUUUCUUGGAAAAGGAAAACGAUUUCUUGUUUUGAUGACAGUGGAUUUGUUUUGCUUGGCUUCACAUAAAUGGAGUCAAGUAGUUUGCAUGUGUGUGUCUGGCUUCAUUAGCUCAACAUAAUGUUUCUUGAUAUUCAUUGAUGUCCAUUAUUUGUUGUUGUUCUGCUGAGUAUUCCAUUGUGUUAAUAUAUUAGUCUACUUACUCAUUUUCCAGUUGAUAGACAUUUGGGAUGUUUCUAGGUUUUUGGCUGUUAAUAAAACUGCUAUGAAUAUUAUUGUAUAGGCUGAGUAUCCUUUAUCCAAAAUGCCUGGGACCAGAAGUAUUUCAGAUUUUGGUUUUUGUUUGUUUGUUUGUUUGUUUUUUAACAUUUGCAUUAUACCUACUGGUUGAGCAUCCUAAAUCUAAAAUUCAAAGUGUUCCGAUGAGCAUUUUUUUUUUAAAUAUUAUGUCAACACUCAAAAAGUUUCAGAUUUUGAAGCAUUUCAAAUUAGGGAUAUUCAACCUGUAUAUGUCUUUUUCUGAUCUUUUAGAAGAUGUAGUCAUAGAAAAAAUACUGGCAUCUGGACACAGUGGCACACACCUGUUGUCCCAGCAACCUGGGAAGCUGAGGAUCACUUCAGCCCAGCAUUUCAUCACAAUAGUGCUUCAUGAUCACACAUGUGAAUAGCCACUGCAUUCCAGCCUGGACAACAUAGAAAGACCCCUGUCUCUUAAAAGAGAAAGAAAAUACUGGCACCGGAAGAAUAUCAAGAAAAAAUUAAAAAUUAUUCAUUAAAUAUAUUGUAGUCUGUCUCAUUUAUGGUGACAGAAUUCAGGAAAGCAAGAGGUGUGUCUUGAAGCAAUCUUGGGAAAUCUUGGAGCUGCUGGUAAAUAUUCAGUUUCUUGAUCAGGGAUCUGCUGAUGAGUGGAUUGCUUUGUGAAAAUUUGACAUAUUAUACACGAGUUCAUCAUACUGAUCAUGGCUCACUGCAGCCUCGACCUCCUAGGCUCAAGCAGUUCUCCAGCCUCAGCCUCCUGAGUAGCUGGGAC